rnacentral:rRNA from 1 species
GAUGAACGCUGGCGGCGUGCCUAAUACAUGUAAGUCGAGCGAACAGACGAGGAGCUUGCUCCUCUGACGUUAGCGGCGGACGGGUGAGUAACACGUGGAUAACCUACCUAUAAGACUGGGAUAACUUCGGGAAACCGGAGCUAAUACCGGAUAACAUGUUGAACCGCAUGGUUCAACAGUGAAAGACGGUUUUGCUGUCACUUAUAGAUGGAUCCGCGUCGCAUUAGCUAGUUGGUAAGGUAACGGCUUACCAAGGCAACGAUGCGUAGCCGACCUGAGAGGGUGAUCGGCCACACUGGAACUGAGACACGGUCCAGACUCCUACGGGAGGCAGCAGUAGGGAAUCUUCCGCAAUGGGCGAAAGCCUGACGGAGCAACGCCGCGUGAGUGAAGAAGGUCUUCGGAUCGUAAAACUCUGUUAUUAGGGAAGAACAAAUGUGUAAGUAACUAUGCACGUCUUGACGGUACCUAAUCAGAAAGCCACGGCUAACUACGUG